rnacentral:rRNA from 1 species
UAUAUCCGCAAGGAGGAAAGGCUUGCCACCGGGAGAGGGGCCUGCGGCGUAUUAGCUUGAUGGUGGGGUAAUGGCCUACCAUGGCGAUGAUGCGUAGCUGGUCUGAGAGGACGAUCAGCCAGACUGGGACUGAGACACGGCCCAGACUCCUACGGGAGGCAGCAGUUCAGAAUCUUGCACAAUGGGCGAAAGCCUGAUGCAGCGAUGCCGCGUGUGCGAAGAAGGUCUUCGGAUCGUAAAGCACUGUCAGAGGGGACGAUAAUGACGGUACCCUCAGAGGAAGCCACGGCUAAUUACGUGCCAGCAGCCGCGGUAAUACGUAAGUGGCGAGCGUUAUCCGGAAUCACUGGGCGUAAAGCGUUCGUAGGCGGUGCGGAAAGUUGGAAUUGAAAUCCCGGGGCUCAACUCCGGACCCGGUUCCAAAACUUCCGUGCUUGAGCGUAUCAAAGGACAGCGGAAUUCCCGGUGUAGCGGUAAUAUGCGUAGAUAUCGGGAGGAAC